UCAUAAAUUCUUAACCAAUCUUAUUCAUAAAAUUCUUAUAUAUAAGAUUCAGUUUUAUUUAAAGCAUGAUGAUUGGUGUUAAAACAAUAGAAGAUCUAUAAAGCUUUUGUAUAAUUAACCAGAUGGACAGUUUUAUUUAAAGCAUGAUGAUUGGUGUUAAAACAAUAGAAGAUCUAUAAAGCUUUUGUAUAAUUAACCAGAUGGAGGAGAGUGUUUGCAACACGGAAGUCUGGGACACGCAAUAGGGUCACAUACUUUACCUCCAAAUUGGCAGCAAGGUGGUAAGUCCUGUAUUUUCCCAGCAAAAACGCUUGUAAUAGCGACUAGUAACAACACAAGUUUGAAUAGCAUAUUCAACAUAUUUUUCAUCAUUCCUCAGCUUUUUUUGUAAAGAAGAAAAAGAUAAUAUAUAUUAUAGUGAGUCC
rnacentral:lncRNA from 1 species